CGCGGGGUGGAGCAGCACGGUAGCUCGUCGGGCUCAUAACCCGAAGGUCGCAGGUUCAAAUCCUGUCCCCGCAACCAAAA
rnacentral:tRNA from 3 species